rnacentral:misc_RNA from 1 species
GAUGAAGAACGUAGUGAAAUGCGAUAAGUAAUGUGAAUUGCAGAAUUCAGUGAAUCAUCGAAUCUUUGAACGCACAUUGCGCCCGCCAGUAUUCUGGCGGGCAUGCCUGUUCGAGCGUCAUUACAACCCUCAGGCCCCCGGGCCUGGCGUUGGGGAUCGGCGGAAGCCCCCUGCGGGCACAACGCCGUCCCCCAAAUACAGUGGCGGUCCCGCCGCAGCUUCCAUUGCGUAGUAGCUAACACCUCGCAACUGGAGAGCGGCGCGGCCACGCCGUAAAACACCCAACUUCUGAAUGUUGACCUCGAAUCAGGUAGGAAUACCCGCUGAACUUAAGCAUAUCAAUAAGCGGAUGA